rnacentral:rRNA from 1 species
CGCGAAGAACCUUACCUGGGCUUGACAUAUAGCGGAUCGCUGCAGAGAUGUAGUUUCCCUUUGUGGUCGUUAUACAGGUGGUGCAUGGUUGUCGUCAGCUCGUGUCGUGAGAUGUUGGGUUAAGUCCCGCAACGAGCGCAACCCUUGUCUUAUGUUGCCAGCAUUUGGUUGGGGACUCAUGAGAGACUGCCGGGGUCAACUCGGAGGAAGA